AUUUCAUACUUCGAGUCUCUUUAUAAGCCUCUAUUAUAGUUUAACAUUGAUGUUCUUAUACCGGAACUGGUGAAGCGGUAGAGAAAUGUUGUGUCGCCAAAAUUAUUGUUAGUUCAUUAAGCGCCACUUGCACCAUCCCACUAACCCGGGAUUAAUUAACCUUGGAGAUAAGUAAGUAAAUAUUUUUUAUUGCACCAAUAAUUAUACAUUUUACAUAACAUGUAAAACUACAAAUUAAUUUUAAAGGAACAUAGACCAGUUACCAUGAAUAGAAUAAUGAUGAGUUAGAAUAGUUAUAAUGCUUACGUCCAGUACAAUUUGACACUGGGUUAACGAUUUAACCGCUUAACCCCGGGUUAGUGGGAUUUUGCAAGUGGCGCAGAAUAUUAUUUUGAUCGACCGAGGUGGAGACAACUUCACCAAGCUGCACUGACAAAAAGAGCACAGCUCUUAAAUUGAAAUAGAUAAAAUCUGUAAGGUAUUUUGGUAUUUACCUGAUUGCAUGAAAAUAUAUGAUAAGUAUAUGUUUUGACUUCGGGUAAAUCAUGUAUACAAGUAUAUUUUUACAAAUUAUACAUUAAUAUUGUAUUGUAUUUUACUUACUACUAAAGAGAGUAGCACCUAAAUUAUUCAAAAGUAUUAUCCUCCAAACAGCGCAUAUCCAUUAUAGGGGCUGUGCGUCUUGGAGGGUGAUCUGAAUCGGAAAUAUAACUGUAAAUUGACACAAUACGCCAAAGCAAGUGCUGCCCUCUACAGUUUACGUACGUUUUUUGUACAUUAUAGGUUCUGCCAUAUUGUGUCAGCUUAAACUUGUCAUUUACACUUCACGCCAAUAAACAGGGGCCCCUGUGUUGUCCUCUAUAGUUCAUGCACGUUCCCUAUAGGUUUAUGCGUAUUAAAACAGACACCCAAAGGCGGCGUUCCGAUGGCAACUGCAGCUGCAUUACUGUAGCGGCAUUACUGCUGCGGCUUGAUGCGAGCGCUGUCACUGGCAAUUGCCUAAGGGCCACUUGCAUCAUCCCACUAACCCGGGGUUAACCGGUUAAACUGUUAACCCAGUGUCAAAUUGUACUCGUAACCAUAGUAAGUCCAGGUUUAACAGGUUAACCCGGGGUUAGUGAUUGGUGCAAGUGGCCCUAGAUAAUAUGAGUGUUAAACGUUCGCCACCUGACAGUAACGCGGCAUCGAAUGUGAUACUGAUAGUGAUCUGUCAGUGUCAUAAUUCACGUUUUUGGUAGAAGAAAUGUCACUUUUAAGACUGAGAGAUCAGUAUCUAAAUCAGGAUCUAAUAACUAAAAUCUAGAACUGGCCUGUUAGAAAUUGCCUGACUGGUUUCAUAGGCACAAAACUACUCGUACAUUUAAAAAUACCAUUCAGCCAUGGAAAUUAAUUUAGUGAUGUCUUUGAGAGGGUCAAAUAAAACUAAAAAUAAUUACAAAAACUAGAGAUGCCUUGGAAUACCAUUUUGAUAUUGAAAGUAAUUUGACCUACCGUAUAAGGUCACAGUUUAUUAAAAUAUACCCAAAUACGAGGUCCGUAUAUAUAGUAAUUCUUUUGAUUGGAAGGAAAAUCCCACUGUUAUGGCUUUAAACCGGUUUUUUCAGACGAAUAGCAUAAUUAAAAUUAAAUGACGCGUGGGUCGAGGACUUACGUUUUAUUCGAGAGCGAGCGCAAUGACGUACAUAAUAUUGGUUUUUGUCUCUGAUGUCCUAUAUGAGCAGGCUAUGUGUGAGAGCGCGAUUUAACACCUGCAUUAGACUCAAAUUAUAUUUCAUUGUGCUAAAUGUAACCAAAUUUAAGUAAUUACUCUGUAUAAAGAUAACAUUAAUUUAAUGUGAUUUGGAUUUGAUCCAAUUUUCUAUUAAAUUACACUCUUUAUUUUAACGGAUUUAUCAGUCAAUUACAGGCCAGUUAAUAUAAAAGCUGAAUCAUGAAGCCCUAGUAGAUCAGGAUCUCUAGAAGAGUGUCGAAUGCAUAAUGUUAGACCGCAGUUUGAUUUCUGAUCCUUGUAGUAGGUCUCCCAGGCUUCAAGAAACCUGAUGUUGCCGGGCUGUAAAGUGAUGCUGUUCGCCCCACUACCCCUCCUGAAAACCCCCUAUAAAAUGUUCAUUGUUUUUACAGUUUUUUGUUAUAAUAAAUUCAUCGACGAUCGAAAUAAACUGCUAUAACGUAGAUCAUGACAUAUAGUUUGCCGGAGCUUUUUUAGACGGUCGACGUUUAGCGAGGUUGUCAAGUAAUAUGUUUGUGGAGCUGUUAAUGUCAGAUGCCAGGUCAAAGAAGUUGCCAAUUCAAAUGAGAUUAUUGUUAAAUAUAGUUACACGUGGUAAAACGCUUCAAACACACACACAAACUUAUAUUAUAGUGGUAAAAUAUUUAUUUUCAAGAUACAUUCGUAUUUAAUCAGUACUACAAUGAAAGUAAGUUAUUUAAAAUUGUUUUCUUGGCAGACUUUUUAUAUUUGAGAUAUUGUAUUUAAAAAUGAGUAUUAAGUAAUUAAUGUAAAAACUUACGGAAAAUGUAAUUCAGCCAAGAAAACAAUUAAUUUUAAAUAACAAGCUCACUUUCAUUGUAGUAUUGAUUAAAUAGGAAUUUAUCUUGACUUUAACAAUUAUGUAUACGACACUCAUAGUGUUGUGUUGCUGCCGGUAAGGUUGCCAGAGCUCAACGAGGGUGCGGAGUGUUAGGGUCGGCAACGCGCAUGUGACUCAUCUGGAGUUGCAGGCGUCCAUAGGCUACGGAGGUUGCUUACCAUCAGGCGGGCCGUAUGCUUGUUUGCCACAGACGUAGUAUUAAAAAAUAGGUAACAUGCAUAACUAUGAUCAUACCUAAUACCUACCUUAUCUGUUUAAACUGUUGGAUCGAUCUCAGAUAUUCGUUCAAGCAUGUCGCUUGUGUGUGCGUGGAAUAUUUUAUAAUUCGUUUGCGUAAAUAAUGUACCGUUCUGGGAUUUCCGUAACUUAAUCGAGGUUUGAUGUUUAUAACAUAAUGUUAGCAGAAUAAUAUUACAACGUCCACGUUUAUUUACAUUUUGAGGAAAAUCCUUAUUUUAAAAAUCUAUUUGUGAUGGUCAACCAUUAUGAUGCCUAGUAUACUUGCCUUUCGGUUUCGACUGAUGACGUCGAUACGGUUCAGUUGUUUGUGAUUAGAAGUAAAUAAAUCAUAAUGGAAUCAAUGAUCAAUCAUGAUACAAAAUUCCAAACAUAUGUUUGAUGACAAGCCUUAUGGCCCCGUAGUUUCGUGCUCUCACUCUUACUGAGCGUAAGAGAGAUGGAUGUGUGUGUUCAGGACCGCGCAAGAUUUUAAUUUGUUGUAUGUGUUUUAAC